rnacentral:rRNA from 1 species
UACGUAGGGGGGCAAGCGUUGUCCGGAAUCAUUGGGCGUAAAGCGCGUGUAGGCGGCCCGAUAAGUCCGCUGUGAAAGUCCAGGGCUCAACCCUGGAAUGCCGGUGGAUACUGUCGGGCUCGAGUCCGGAAGAGGCGAGUGGAAUUCCUGGUGUAGCGGUGAAUGACGCAGAUAUCAGGAGGAACACCGAUGGCGAAGGCAGCUCGCUGGGACGGUACUGACGCUGAGACGCGAAAAGCGUGGGGGAGCAAACAGG